UGAUAUCAUAACCUAUCCAAUAUUAAAGAAAUUUGAAUUUGAAUGGUAACAAUUCCGUCUGGUGUUAAAUCCUCGUUCUCGUUUUGAACGUCUCACUCAUGGCCGAUCACAGUGUGUUCUUUCUGAUUAGCUUAUUGAGAUCACCUGUCACGCACCCCUUUAUUAAAGGUGAACGCAAUUGGUUUGGUUUACUUUGCAACGGCCUGUGUCAAUCGAGGUUGAGUUUAGGGAGUGUUGAAAGUUUUCGAUCUAGAUUGCAGAUCAGAAGCAUGCGUUGUUGCGUGUUUGUUUUUGUGGGCAUUUGACUGAGCAGCCCAGACCAAUAUUGCUACCAGCAUGGCACUUCGAAACAGACCACCGCAGUGUUGACUGACUGACAAGAUCUAUGGGGGGGCCCCCUUUGGGCCCCCCCAUACCAACUUAGUCUUCAAAAAAAUCUAGUACCAUGGGACUCCAGUGUCUUCAAAACAUCCUCGGAAUACAUGUGUAUGAAUGGUCCACCGAAGGGUUGAUCUGGAAGCCACCACGGCCCACGCAGUAAUCUGCUGCGUGGGCCGUAGUGGCUUCCAGAGCCAUCUUUCGGUCUUGGUCAGGAUUUGUUACAGUUGCUUUGUUAAUGUAGCAGGCUACGGGUUUCUGAAGAAGCCUGCUUUACGUAGCAUUGGAGUACAAAUAUUGUGCAAAAUGCUCAUGUAAUUGCACUAGCACUAGUAACCUGUAGAUUAGCUUAGUUUUACGUCAUUCCGUGCUGUCUCUGUCAAAUGUGUGGCUUACUUUAAGUCCACAAGGCCCUCUGGUAAUCCACGUUGGAACACCCCUGGACAAGGGGGACUUGACUGGUGAGUCUACUGGAUUAAUCAGUAGCGGUACUUUGCCCAACAGAUUUGAUGGCAUGACUACAGGGUGACAAAGACAAUUAUUCCCUGCCUAUCAAAAGAGACUUCUAAAAUCUGCUAGAACAGUUCCUAUACUUUUUGUAUAAUUUGGUCAUGCUGCAAAUGUACUUUUUGAAGUUGCUCCAUAUUUAGUUCUUUGACAGCCUCACCUCAGCUAGAAAAGUCUAUUCAAAUCAGCUAAAUAUAAUGUUCAGAAUGCAUUGGUUUAGUUGGUGGUUCAUCACUGAUGUCUCUCUAGGCUUGAGGGAGAGCUCACAAGUAAAUUACACAAAUGUCCUGGAGCAAUUGGGAAUACACUUUUAUUUAGUCUACCUGACCAGGGACAUCUUUGAACUAUAGGUCACCUAGCCUAAACUUUUCACUCUUGUUAGGUUGUCCUUUUCUCUUGUUUUUUAACCCGAAAGGGCUGAAAUAUCAACAUUUCAGGUAUUCUGUUUGGAUAAUGUGCAAAACUUGUGGCUUCACUAAUA